rnacentral:rRNA from 1 species
AGAGUUUGAUCCUGGCUCAGAAUGAACGCUGGCGGCGUGCCUAACACAUGCAAGUCGUACGAGAAAGGGGCUUCGGCCCUGAGUAGAGUGGCGCACGGGUGAGUAACGCGUGGGUAAUCUACCCUUGGAUUUGGGAUAACUCUGCGAAAGUGGAGCUAAUACCGGAUAGUCUGGCUUUAAAUAAGAAGUCGGUAAAGGAUGCCUCUGCAUAUGCAUUCGUCCGAGGAUGAGCCCGCGUCUCAUUAGCUAGUUGGUAGGGUAAUGGCCUACCAAGGCAACGAUGAGUAGCUGGUCUGAGAGGAUGAUCAGCCACACUGGAACUGAAACACGGUCCAGACUCCUACGGGAGGCAGCAGUGGGGAAUAUUGCGCAAUGGGCGAAAGCCUGACGCAGCAACGCCGUGUGAGGGAUGAAGGCUUUCGGGUCGUAAACCUCUGUCGGAAGGGAAGAACGGGCAUUGGUCUAAUAGGCCUUUGUUUUGACGGUACCUUUAGAGGAAGCACCGGCUAACUCCGUGCCAGCAGCCGCGGUAAUACGGAGGGUGCAAGCGUUAUUCGGAAUUACUGGGCGUAAAGCGCACGUAGGCGGCCUUGUAAGUCAGGGGUGAAAUCCCACGGCUCAACCGUGGAACUGCCUUUGAAACUGCAGGGCUUGAAUCCUGGAGAGGGUGGCGGAAUUCCUGGUGUAGGAGUGAAAUCCGUAGAUAUCAGGAGGAACACCGGUGGCGAAGGCGGCCACCUGGACAGGCAUUGACGCUGAGGUGCGAAAGUGUGGGGAGCAAACAGGAUUAGAUACCCUGGUAGUCCACACCGUAAACGAUGGAUACUAGGUGUCGGGGACUUGAUCUUCGGUGCCGUAGCUAACGCGUUAAGUAUCCCGCCUGGGGGAGUACGGUCGCAAGGCUGAAACUCAAAGAAAUUGACGGGGGCCCGCACA